rnacentral:lncRNA from 1 species
AAAGAAUUUCAAAGAAAUCCUAAAGAAAUAUUAGAAUAAUCAUCAAUAUAUCUUAAAUAAAUCUCAAUAAAAUCUUAAUUUAAUAUAAAUUAAAAUCCUAAUGGACUUCAAUCAAACCCUAAGCCAAAACUUAAAUUUUAAAUAAAUUCUAAAUCCUAAACCAAAUCCUAGAUAAAUUUUAAAGCCUAAAUCAAAUUUUAGAAAAAUCCUAAAUUUUAAAUCAAAUCCUAGAAAAAUCCUAAAUCCUAAACCAAAUUCUAAACAAAUCCUAAACCUCAAUUCAAAUCCUAGACAAAUACUAAAUCCUAAACUAAAUUCUAGCCAAAUCUGAAACCAAUUCCUAGAUAAAUUCUAAAUCUUAACUAAAAUCUUAGAUAAAUCAUAAAUUCUAAAUUAAAUCCUAAAAAAAUUCUAAAUCCUAAACCAAAUCUUAAAAAAAUUCUAAAUCCUAAACCAAACUCUAAACAAAUCU